rnacentral:lncRNA from 1 species
GACCAAUGGAAUUUACACUCUCACAGUGGAAGUCUGAAAUCCAGGGGCUAGCAAACCCAUGCUCCUUCUGAAGGUUCUGGGGAAAGGUGUGUGGGCCAGAUCUUUUACUUCUCCAUUGUAAUAGCCUCAGAUGUUCCUUGUCUCAUGGAAAGUCGCUAUCUCCCUGAGUCAUUUCCUGGCAUCUCUCCUCUAAUAACCCCAGCUGUGUCAAGUUGACACAAAACUAGCCAGUACAACCUGUCAUUGUGUUCAAGGAAAGGGGACGGAUGGAGUCAAAUUCCUCUAUGGCAGAGGUUGGGCCAUCUGGGAUGAACUGACUCUGGUUUUGACUUCACCUCGCCUCAUGAGGGAUGCAGAGAUCAUGAGCAACAGGCCUCUUGGUUUCUGGUGCUCUCUCUUUCACACACACACAGGAGAUGCUCACGGAUUGCCAGUGGUGGAUUGCAGUGAGUAUUCGCUGAACUUCCUUAUGAGAUCACAAUGCUUGGUUUCUCAUGGCUAUGAUAGACUACCUGGCAGAAACACUGCUAGGAGGGAAGGUUUAUUUUCACUAGCAAAUUCAGGGGGGAGAGUCCAUCGUGGCAGGAAAGCAUUGCCCAAGCAUGGGAUGGGGAUAUGGCUACUGCUUUUCAAAUGACAACCACACCAGGAAGCAGAGGACAUGGCAGGGACGAGUCAAGGAUACCAUAUCCCCAAGGACUCACCUCCAAUGACUUACUUUAGCCAGGAAGCCCUAUCUUCUAAAGGUUCUGCAGUCUCUCAAGUCAAUAUCACUAGAUGGGGAUCAAGUAUCCAAUCACAGGAGCCUAUGGGACAAUCCAGGUCAAGCAACUGUGUACCAAAAUUGUGAGUCAAGAGAAAUCUUUCCUCCAUCGAAAUUGAUGAUCGCAGGCGUUUUGUCCCAGUGACUGAAAGCUUACUGCUGCAGCGCUUCCUGGUCCUUCCCUUGACUUCAGUCUCCAGCCUCACAUUCACGUGUGAGACCAGCAAAACCACUCAGCAUGCUGACUUGGGCAAUUUAGAUCCAGCAAAAAGAAAAAAUUAAAGGCCCCUCUCUGGUGUGUUCUCACCUGUAUGCCCAUGAAAUCUCGGGUUUGUGUUUUGUCUUUUGAGGCAGGUUUUCACACUGUAACCCAAACUAGGUUAGCUCACUCCGACCUUCAAUUUUGCAGUAAUUCUCCUGGCUCAGCCUCCUUAAUACAGAGAUAACAGGCAUGAGCCAUACUCCCCAGCAUGAAGUUCAUUCUAUUCCAGCCUUCCUUAGCCUGGAUGAAAUGUGCAUUUGUCGGAUGAAUUGACAUAGAAUCACAGAGCUAUGCACUAGGGACUCCGUAAUAACAAUUUUGAAUUCCAAGGAGCUCAGUGAUUUGG